GCGUCGUGGCUUAGUUGGUUAAAGCGCCUGUCUUGUGAACAGGAAAUCGCGAGUUCGAUUCUCGCCAGUGCA
rnacentral:tRNA from 1 species